rnacentral:rRNA from 1 species
CCACCACGGGACGCAGCAGUGGGGAAUAUUGCACAAUGGGGGGAACCCUGAUGCAGCGACGCCGCGUGGGUGAAGGAGUAUUUCGGUAUGUAAAGCCCUAUCAGCAGGGAAGAACAAUGACGGUACCUGACUAAGAAGCACCGGCUAAAUACGUGCCAGCAGCCGCGGUAAUACGUAUGGUGCAAGCGUCAUCCGGAUUUACUGGGUGUAAAGGGAGCGCAGGCGGCGCGUCAAGCCUGGCGUGAAAGCCCGCG